UAGAUAUUUUUUUCUAAAAUAUAAAUAAGCUGCUGCCCUUGGACACCCCAGGCCGCGUACUGCAAGACGGAGUCCUCUACUUCUGGAGGAUUUAACUCCCAA